rnacentral:rRNA from 1 species
AACGAACGCUGGCGGCAUGCCUAACACAUGCAAGUCGAACGAAGGCUUCGGCCUUAGUGGCGCACGGGUGCGUAACGCGUGGGAAUCUGCCCUUUGCUUCGGAAUAACAGUUAGAAAUGACUGCUAAUACCGGAUGAUGUCGCAAGACCAAAGAUUUAUCGGCAAAGGAUGAGCCCGCGUAGGAUUAGCUAGUUGGUGGGGUAAAGGCCUACCAAGGCGACGAUCCUUAGCUGGUCUGAGAGGAUGAUCAGCCACACUGGGACUGAGACACGGCCCAAACUCCCCGGGGGGGGCGAAGGGGGGAAAUUUGGACAAGGGGCGAAAGCCUAAUCCAGCAAGGCCGGGUAGGUGAUGAAGGCCUUAGGGUUGUAAAGCUCUUUUACCCGGGAGGAUAAUGCCGGUACGGGGAGAAAAAGCUCCGGCUACCUCCGG